AAAUAUCUGAACCCGAACAUAAAUACCUGAACCCAACUUGAACUGUAGAUAUACUCGAACUGGUUCUAUACUUUUAUACUGAAAUAUCCGAUACGAAUCCAAACGUGUAUCAGAACGCCACCCGUAUGAUAUAUGUUCAUUUGUAUCUUGCUUGAACAAAAAAAAGUCAAACCAUUGAUCACAAAAUUUUCAAUGUGUGAUUUUUACCAUUUUUUGUAAUUUAUAGUCGUUUUUAAAAAUUCAAAAUAUAACAUAUAAGAAUUUUUUUU
rnacentral:lncRNA from 1 species